GCCAGGCACGAUGGCUUAUGCCUGUAAUCCCAGCACUUUGGGAGGCAGAGGUGGGUGGAUCACCUGAGGUCAGGAGUUUGAGACCAACCUGGCCAACAUGGUGAGACCCCAUCUCUA
rnacentral:SRP_RNA from 1 species